rnacentral:misc_RNA from 1 species
CUAACUAGUUAGAGUUGGCAAUAAAAAAAGAACUAAUGAUUAGCCAAAAUAUAAACAAAACCCCCAAAAUAAAGUAGUUUUGUACAAAAUUCCCAUGAACUCUACGGUUCAGAAGAAAAUAAAAGCAAUCCCCUUCAAGCUAUGAAUGCUAGGAAAUUGACGCCGAACUCCACUCAAAAACAUAAUGAACUAAUAGUUGAAUCACAGCCUACAAUAAAUCAGCAUACCAUAAGAACAGCUAAAUAUCCAAAGUACUCAUUUUCCAAGCAUGAUCCGAUCUUCUCAAUAUAGGAGCAGCCCCAAAAGAAAAAUUUAUGAAAUUCAGUUUCUUUAAACUCCAAACUUCGACAAUUAAGUUCCACAUUUUCCAUUUAAAUACUAUAGACAAGCAUAUUUAUCCUCAUCAUAUAAUUUGAAUUGCAGCAAUGCCUUCAAAACACAAAGGAAAAGAAUCUCGUUGGAUGUUCGAGGAAAACAGUGACAACUUUAGAUUUUAUAAAUGACCGGAAUUACCUUAGAUCUAGCUGAAGCCGUUGGAGUAGAAGCACAAAAAAUGUAGUUGAUCAAAUAGGCACGAGCCAGUAAUUAAGAAGAAUAUAACACUAAAGAAUUGUUACAUUUUAUCUGAUAAGUUAAAAUCACAAGAACCCAGAAGAGGAAAGGGAAAUCCCACAACAUCCCAUUGCUUCGCAAACUAGUAGGGGAAAAAGAGAAAAGUUUCGUUCCUUUACUUUCUUUUGAAUUUCUGAGGAACUAAACAGACCAUAUAAAGCUAAUGAAACUAUGAGAAUUGGAAAAGCGCAGAAUGCAAACAGGAAAAGAAG